UGUUUUUCUAUUGUUCCCUCUGUUGAGUGUUUGGCCCAAGAUAUUGCAUAUAGCGCCAGAUUUAAGAACUGUUAAGAAAAAAAGAAGAAGAAGAAAUUAACCUUUCAAGCACCAAAAGGAAUGAAUGUGUUUCAUUAAAGCAUUCAUUUUUUGUUUGGUGAGCUCAUGAGUUACUGCAACUAUAACUAGCAACUUCGAGAGCAACCAAAUUUUUAUUUUUAAUUUUUACUUUUCACUGAAGAAACAGAUUUGAUCUCCAUGAUUUACUCCUCAUAUCUCUCCAUCCAUGACUGCUACAAUUUCUCUUCAUGAUGCCAGCUCGUGUAAAUUAUUUAUCCGUUACUCUUAUAGCACCAAUUGCUAUUCUUCUUACAAGAUAUCAAGAGCCAACAGAGGUUCUACCAAUGGCUUGAUCAACAUUUGCAACCUCAACGAUCCCAACUGUGGCUGAUCUUGCUGCUUUUGGUUUAGUUUCCUCCAAAACUAAUAGAGCAAAUAAUACCUCUGCUUCCUCUGCUCCAUCUCAGCACUCCCAAGUGCCAUUCGACUCCAUUAAGGAAGAGCAAAGCAGUGCCUAAUGCCAGCAUGGUCUCCUAUUCAGCAUUUACUUUUUCCUCUUAAUUUGCUUGUCAGUCUAUUUCUGAUUGGUUGUAUAAAAGGGAAGGCUGUUAUAACGGCAUUGUACUCUGCUGCUUCCAGAAAUUCUGUGCACGCCAUCUGGUUGUUGUAAUGCCAGAAUAUUCUGGAACAAACUUGCCCUUAAAUACCACACUGUGUAAACGUCCUUCUCAAGAAAUGAAACACUUCAUUUUACACUUUUAA